UCCAUCUUCCACCAUGGAAUGGCACAACUUCCAACUCUCGUGACAGUUAUCUUCUAUUCAGAAAACAAUCCACAAGCAUAUUUGCAUAGCACUUUUCAUGUGUUUUUUCUCCAGAAUUGUUUCCUUCUUUCUUUGAAGACUUAACUUAGAAUGAAAAAGGCUCUGUGUGAAAGGCACACCAAGGACACUCAGAUCCCAAGCCUUCGCUUCUUGGAGCUCGACCUAGCUUUAGUCUACCUGGCCAUGUCUGAUUCAUCCUGCAAAAUCCGUUCAAACAGACUUCUAUGAAGAUUCUGGGACCCCUUAUAAGAGUGACAGUGAACCUUUUAGAGACUGAGUGUCCAAACUGCAAUCCAAAACCCACUUACUUAUCAGAAAGUGGCAACAGUGCAAUUAAACCUGUAUGUUGGACAGUUUGUAAUAACUAAAACUUGGAAACAGCCCAAAUGCCCAUCAACUGGAGACUGGAUAAAGAAAAUGUGGGGUUUUUUUUAUAAAAUGGAGUACUACUCAGCCAUCAAAAAGAGAAAUUAGAGACAUUUAUUGUUAAAUGGAUGCACAUUGAGGCAAUACUCUUUUUUUUUUUUUUUUUUUUUUUUUGGUACCAGGGAUCAAACUCGGGUCCUUGCACUUGCACAGCAGGUGGUGAAAUCACUGAGCUAAAUCCCCAGCCCAAGGUGAUACUCUUAAGUGAAAUAAAUAGGAUACACAUGUGUAAAUACCUAAUAGUUUCUCUAGUGUGAGAAACUGAAAGUGUAAAUAAGGACUAAAAGGAUAAUAGAUAAUGUGAAAUAGGAAGAAAAAGGGCAAAGGGGAAGGGGAAGUGGGAGGGGUAGGGGAAAGGAAAGAAGGGAAUGGAAUUAAUAUGAGAAAAUGAAAAAAAGGAAACAAAGUCUUUGUAAAUAGGGAGGGGUGGAGGGGUUGAAGGGAGGGCAG
rnacentral:lncRNA from 1 species